rnacentral:rRNA from 1 species
CCAGCAACUUGGAGGAAUGUAUAGCAAUAGCUACUUGCAUCAUUGUAUUGAUGAUGCAAGAUCGACUAUGUCGAAUAAAAUUCUAGGUAGAAUUAUGAUAAUGACAUUGUCUGCCUAUGUGUCUUGACCAAAUUACGUGCCAGCAGUCGCGGUAAUACGUAGAAGACUAGUGUUAUUCAUGUUUAAUCGGUUUAAAGGGUACCUAGACGGUAAAUCAAGCCUACAAAGAAAAGAAAUGAAGGGACUAAUUUACUAGAGUUACUUAUGAGGGGGUAUUAAAGUACUGCUGGUGUAGAGAUGAAAUUCUGUCAUACCUCUUUUCAAUAGAAAAAUAAUGGCACAGGUAUAGGCGAAAGCAUCCCCUUAUGUGAUAACUGACGUUGAGGGACGAAGGCUUUGUGUAGCGAACAGGAUUAGAUACCCCAGUAGUCAAAGCAGAAAAUGAUGAAUGUCAUAGAUUAGAUAAAUAAGUUUAUUCUAUAAAUGAAAGUGUAAGCAUUCCACCUCAAGAGUAAUUUGGCAACAUUGGAACUGAAAUCAUUAGACCGUUUCUGAAACCAGUAGUGAAGUAUGUUGUUUAAUUUGAUGAUCCGCAAAAAACCUUACCACAAUUUGAAUAUUUAUAUUUUUUAUUGUUUUCUUCUUAGAAUAAAUAGGUAAUAAAAUAUAUUUACAAGCGUUGCACGGCUGUCUUCAGUUAAUGUCGCGAGACUUUGGUUAGUUCCAUUAAAUUAACGUAAACCCUUACUUUAUUUUUAUAUAGAGUAGUUCCCCGCUAUAUUGGAUAUGAUAACAGGGACUAAGACAAGUC